AGAGUUUGAUCCUGGCUCAGGAUGAACGCUGGCGGCGUGCCUAAUACAUGCAAGUCGAGCGAACGGACGAGAAGCUUGCUUUUCUGAUGUUAGCGGCGGACGGGUGAGUAACACGUGGAUAACCUACCUAUAAGACUGGGAUAACUUCGGGAAACCGGAGCUAAUACCGGAUAAUAUUUUGAACCGCAUGGUUCAAAAGUGAAAGACGGUCUUGCUGUCACUUAUAGAUGGAUCCGCGCUGCAUUAGCUAGUUGGUAAGGUAACGGCUUACCAAGGCAACGAUGCAUAGCCGACCUGAGAGGGUGAUCGGCCACACUGGAACUGAGACACGGUCCAGACUCCUACGGGAGGCAGCAGUAGGGAAUCUUCCGCAAUGGGCGAAAGCCUGACGGAGCAACGCCGCGUGAGUGAUGAAGGUCUUCGGAUCGUAAAACUCUGUUAUUAGGGAAGAACAUAUGUGUAAGUAACUGUGCACAUCUUGACGGUACCUAAUCAGAAAGCCACGGCUAACUACGUGCCAGCAGCCGCGGUAAUACGUAGGUGGCAAGCGUUAUCCGGAAUUAUUGGGCGUAAAGCGCGCGUAGGCGGUUUUUUAAGUCUGAUGUGAAAGCCCACGGCUCAACCGUGGAGGGUCAUUGGAAACUGGAAAACUUGAGUGCAGAAGAGGAAAGUGGAAUUCCAUGUGUAGCGGUGAAAUGCGCAGAGAUGUGGAGGAACACCAGUGGCGAAGGCGACUUUCUGGUCUGUAACUGACGCUGAUGUGCGAAAGCGUGGGGAUCAAACAGGAUUAGAUACCCUGGUAGUCCACGCCGUAAACGAUGAGUGCUAAGUGUUAGGGGGUUUCCGCCCCUUAGUGCUGCAGCUAACGCAUUAAGCACUCCGCCUGGGGAGUACGACCGCAAGGUUGAAACUCAAAGGAAUUGACGGGGACCCGCACAAGCGGUGGAGCAUGUGGUUUAAUUCGAAGCAACGCGAAGAACCUUACCAAAUCUUGACAUCCUUUGACAACUCUAGAGAUAGAGCCUUCCCCUUCGGGGGACAAAGUGACAGGUGGUGCAUGGUUGUCGUCAGCUCGUGUCGUGAGAUGUUGGGUUAAGUCCCGCAACGAGCGCAACCCUUAAGCUUAGUUGCCAUCAUUAAGUUGGGCACUCUAAGUUGACUGCCGGUGACAAACCGGAGGAAGGUGGGGAUGACGUCAAAUCAUCAUGCCCCUUAUGAUUUGGGCUACACACGUGCUACAAUGGACAAUACAAAGGGCAGCGAAACCGCGAGGUCAAGCAAAUCCCAUAAAGUUGUUCUCAGUUCGGAUUGUAGUCUGCAACUCGACUACAUGAAGCUGGAAUCGCUAGUAAUCGUAGAUCAGCAUGCUACGGUGAAUACGUUCCCGGGUCUUGUACACACCGCCCGUCACACCACGAGAGUUUGUAACACCCGAAGCCGGUGGAGUAACCUUUUAGGAGCUAGCCGUCGAAGGUGGGACAAAUGAUUGGGGUGAAGUCGUAACAAGGUAGCCGUAUCGGAAGGUGCGGCUGGAUCACCU
rnacentral:rRNA from 1 species